GAACGUUGAAGACGACGACGUUGAUAGGCCGGGUGUGUAAGCGCAGCGAUGCGUUGAGCUAACCGGUACUAAUGAACCGUGAGGCUUAACCUUACAACGCCGAAG
rnacentral:rRNA from 22 species